UACGAAGGGGGCUAGCGUUGUUCGGAAUUACUGGGCGUAAAGCGCACGUAGGCGGAUAUUUAAGUCAGGGGUGAAAUCCCAGAGCUCAACUCUGGAACUGCCUUUGAUACUGGGUAUCUCGAGUAUGGAAGAGGUGAGUGGAAUUCCGAGUGUAGAGGUGAAAUUCGUAGAUAUUAGGAAGAACACCGGUGGCGAAGGCGGCCCACUGGUCCGGUACUGACGCUGAGGUGCGAAAGCGUGGGGAGCAAACAGG
rnacentral:rRNA from 1 species